CUACGGGAGGCAGCAGUGGGGAAUAUUGCACAAUGGGCGCAAGCCUGAUGCAGCCAUGCCGCGUGUAUGAAGAAGGCCUUCGGGUUGUAAAGUACUUUCAGCGGGGAGGAAGGGAGUAAAGUUAAUACCUUUGCUCAUUGACGUUACCCGCAGAAGAAGCACCGGCGAACUCCGUGCCAGCAGCCGCGGUAAUACGGAGGGUGCAAGCGUUAAUCGGAAUUACUGGGCGUAAAGCGCACGCAGGCGGUUUGUUAAGUCAGAUGUGAAAUCCCCGGGCUCAACCUGGGAACUGCAUCUGAUACUGGCAAGCUUGAGUCUCAUAGAGGGGGGUAGAAUUCCAGGUGUAGCGGUGAAAUGCGUAGAGAUCUGGAGGAAUACCGGUGGCGAAGGCGGCCCCCUGGACGAAGACUGACGCUCAGGUGCGAAAGCGUGGGGAGCAAACAGGAUUAGAUACCCCAGUAGUC
rnacentral:rRNA from 1 species